CUGGCUAUGGCCUAAUGGUAAGGCACUUGACUACGGUGAAUUAUCUCGCUUGCUAUCAAGGGAUUGGAGGUUCGAGUCCUUCUAGCCAGG
rfam:Candida parapsilosis strain CDC317 annotated contig 005809